rnacentral:rRNA from 1 species
GUGACCUGCCCUGAAGUGGGGAAUAAUCCCGCCAACGCGGGACUAAUACCGCAUGUGCUCGGUAGUUCGCUCUAUCGAGUAAAGCCGAAAGGCGNNNCNGGAGGGGCCUGCGGCGGAUNNNNNNGUUGGUGGGGUAACGGCCUACCAAGGCNAUGAUCCGUAGGGGGCGUGAGAGCGUGGCCCCCCACACUGGCACUGAGACACGGNNCAGACUCCUACGGGAGGCAGCAGUAAGGAAUAUUGCACAAUGGGCGAAAGCCUGAUGCAGCAACGCCGCGUGGGUGAAGAAGGCCUUCGGGUCGUAAAACCCUUUUCUGGGGGACGAGGAAGGACGGUACCCCAGGAAGAAGCACCGGCUGACUACGUGCCAGCAGCCGCGGUAACACGUAGGGUGCGAGCGUUAUCCGGAUUUACUGGGCGUAAAGCGCGCGCAGGCGGUGUCGUAAGUUGGACGUGAAAUCUUUCGGCUCAACCGGGAGGCGCCGUUCAAUACUGCGACACUUGAGGGCAGAAGAGGGGAGUGGAAUUCCCGGUGUAGGGGUAAAAUCCUUAGAGAUCGGGAGGAACACCAGUGGCGAAGGCGGCUCCCUGGCCUGUUCCUGACGCUGAGGCGCGAAAGCGUGGGGAGCGAACGGGAUUAGAUACCCCGGUAGUCCACGCCGUAAACGAUGGGUACUGGGUGUGGGGAGUAUUGUAUCUCUCCGUGCCGAAGCCAACGCGUUAAGUACCCCGCCUGGGGACUACGGCCGNCAGGCUAAAACUCAAAGGAAUUGACGGGGGCC